AAAAGCUCAAAUUUGAAAUCUGGCGCCUUCGGUGUCCGAGUUGUAAUUUGAAGAUUGUAACCUUGGGGUUGGCUCUUGUCUAUGUUUCUUGGAACAGGACGUCACAGAGGGUGAGAAUCCCGUGCGAUGAGAUGCCCAAUUCUAUGUAAGGUGCUUUCGAAGAGUCGAGUUGUUUGGGAAUGCAGCUCUAAGUGGGUGGUAAAUUCCAUCUAAAGCUAAAUAUUGGCGAGAGACCGAUAGCGAACAAGUACAGUGAUGGAAAGAUGAAAAGAACUUUGAAAAGAGAGUGAAAAAGUACGUGAAAUUGUUGAAAGGGAAGGGUUUGAGAUCAGACUCGAUAUUUUGUGAGCCUUGCCUUCGUGGCGGGGUGACCCGCAGCUUAUCGGGCCAGCAUCGGUUUGGGCGGUAGGAUAAUGGCGUAGGAAUGUGACUUUACUUCGGUGAAGUGUUAUAGCCUGCGUUGAUGCUGCCUGCCUAGACCGAGGACUGCGAUUUUAUCAAGGGAUGCUGGCAUAAUGAUCCCAAACC
rnacentral:rRNA from 1 species